CUUUUCACUCUCUAUCAGCUUCUCUCCGUGGGUCUAUGUAUGUGCGUGGAUAUUUGUGCUUGAUUUGGAUUCUUUUUAUGCUGUUGUUAUCGUUAGCAUUUUGAGGUUAGGGUUCGUUAGCAGUUUUUUGCUUCAAUAAAUGUUUUGGCUUCUCUUGGAGUAGUAACAUCACUAAUUGCUUUGUUCUAAACCUUUUUUUUUUUAGGGAAUUCAUGAGUUUCUUUGCUUCCCCUUUUUUUUUGUGCGUUUCGGUGUAUGAUAUUCACGUACUGACGUGCUUGUAUCUUUGUCCUUUAAUUGGUUUCUUCAAUUCAUCACAAAUUUAAAUGCCAACAAUAACAGUGUUUGCUUAAUUUCUAUAAUUAGGAUGCCUAAUUAUAUUAGUAAAACAGAAGUUGCCAUUGCAAUCGUCUUUUUCUCCUUUAUCCUGCUUCAUUCUUUGUUCGUAAAUCAUGGCAUCUCAAAUUCUAUAGAAACUUUCUUUUCUUUUUAUUGUUUUUAUUUUAAACCAAAUAACUGUACCAGACUGAACGAACCCAAAAUUAAUCAUGGUAGAGCUAGUUUCUGCUUUGUUUUAUUUUCGAGUAAGAUUUUAUGGAGCAUAUUUUUUUCCAUCCUGUUUUGGGUUGACACAGAACCCAACCAUCCCAAAUUGAUCAAUGCCAAGCGUGAAAACACAAGUUUUAGUUGAGGGUAGUCACUAAUAUCGCAAUACUCUUGUGGCCUCUAUCAUCAGGCCUUUGCAAAAUUUGCUUUGCGGGAAAAUCCAUCCAUUCUGUAUAUAUUUCAGUUCAAAAGUAAGUUGGAAACUAAAUUCAAAUGAUCAUACUUACCCGUUGCAGAUAAAUCAAUGGUAACAAUUGAGUUAGAGAUGCCAUUUGUGAUCAUUUAGUGUUCAUUGAAAAUUUUAGCAUGAAGGUGAACAUUGUAAACCUUAUUACUAGUGCAUUGGUGUUGGAGGCCUACUGGACUUUCAAUUGAGAUAAUAUUAUGGUGAUUUAUUCUUAGUAUUAAGUUUUAGUGAAUAGUGACUGUUGUUUUGCAAUCUGGCACUAUUGCCAUGAGAUCUUGCAAUUUUUCUAUGGUUAUUCAAACUCAAUUGUUGAUCUAACCAUUAUUUGCGAACAAAUUCUGUGGUUUAUGAUUGUCAUAUUUUAAGAUCAUAAUUUCAGCCAUUGCAUAUAGUAUUUGUGCAAUAAUUUGCUAACGUCGUAUGAUAUGGACAAUGUGUGUUUUUUUGGCAGUUUUUUUAAUCUAUGAUACUAGUUCACCAUUCACUUUAUAAUCUAUGAUACCCGAAGGUGUGUGUUGUCUUGCUGCUUAAUUCUGAUCAAAUUUGCUGGAUUUACUCGGCAAUGAAUUAAACUUCUCUUAAGCCAAUAAUAAUUUUGAGUACAUUCUAAUCAAACUAACUUCAAAGUUGUAUUAGCUAAAAAAAAGUUGUAUCUGUAAAUAUCCAGUUGGCGUGGCAUCACAAGAUAGUUAAAAAUUAAGAUAGUUCUAACUCUUGAACAAUUUGGUUAUAGAUUAUCAUCUCAUCAUCACCUUUUUCCCGCCUAUUGUUGAAUUUGAUUAGACAUCAUCAUCUUGCUUGUUUUUAUUGUUAGUUCAAAAUCUGACCUCAUAUAUAGAAUAUUUAGCAAGAUUGCACUAGUUACUUGGUGUCAUGGCUUAUUUUGUAAAGAAAGGGACUAUUGGGCUGGUAGGAGGCUUGGAUGGGGCGCGGAACACUUGUGUCUCUUGGAGGAAACCUAAAAUCUUGUAUUGGUGAAGUAGCACUGUUGUUGCGCAAACCAGAUGAGAAUUAAAUUUUGAGAAUUUGUAUGUCCUGCUAAUUGAAAGAAGAAAGCUGUUCACAAGACAACCACCACAGAUGACAAGAGACUUCAAAGCACCCUGAAGAGAAUAGGGGGGAAUGCCAUUCCUGCAAUUGAGGAAGUCAACAUAUUCAAAGAUGAUGAUGUCUAAUCUAGUUUAUUAAUCCUAAAGCCUCUAUUGCUGCCAACACUUGGGUGGUUAGUGGUUCUCCUCAGACCAAGAAAUUGCAAGAUAUUCUUCCUGAAAUUAUUAAUCAAAUGGGUAUGUACCUGUGUCUUUACAGCUAUUUUUUGUUCCUGUUUAUUUCCCUUCACUGGAACUCAUAAGAGAAAUGAAAAGAUUGGUUAAAUAUGACCUUUUGUUUCAUCUUUUUAAGACCUGAUAACUUGGGCAACUUGAGGGAUUAAGCUGGCAGAGCUGUUCCAAAAAGAGGCACCUGGUUCCGGAGCAGGUUCGGCCACGGCAACAGCACAAGAGGAUGAUGAUAAUGAGGUCCCAGAGCUUGUGGCUGGGGAGACCUUUGAAGCUGCUUGCUGAGGAGUGGAACAAGUCUUUACAAGAUUUGGUCUAUACAAAAGAGGGUCCAAAGUCCAAACGCUAGUUUCUGCAUUUGUCUACCACACUCCGCCUCUUUUUCUGAUCAUAUAACAGUUAUAUUGUAACUCAAGUAUGUAUGUAAUUCGUUUAGAUACUAUGCUUGGAGCAUCCACAGCCAAGCCUACUUUGGAUAAUGGCUUUUGCUGUGGCGAAUGAAAUAGUAGCGACAAUUGCUUAAAGGGUCUUUGUGUCCAUUUAUGUUUUUAAAAGAAAAAGUGAUGGUGUGGGUGGGGGGUGUGAAAUAAAUAGUGUAUGUAUUUGUUUCAGUUUUAUUGUAUAUG